rnacentral:rRNA from 1 species
GAAAGCACUUCGGUGUGAGUACAGCGGCGGACGGGUGAGUAACGCGUUAGGAAUCUACCCAGUAGAUGGGGGACAACUUUGGGGAAACCCAAGCUAAUACCGCAUACGCCCUACGGGGGAAAGCGGGGGACCUUCGGGCCUCGUGCUAUUGGAUGAGCCUGCGUCGGAUUAGCUAGUUGGUGGGGUAAAGGCCCACCAAGGCGACGAUCCGUAGCUGGUCUGAGAGGAUGAUCAGCCACACUGGGACUGAGACACGGCCCAGACUCCUACGGGAGGCAGCAGUGGGGAAUAUUGCGCAAUGGGGGCAACCCUGACGCANCCAUGCCGCGUGUGUGAAGAAGGCCUUAGGGUUGUAAAGCACUUUCACUUGGGAAGAAAAGCUGCAGGUUAAUAGCCUGUAGCCGUGACAUUACCUUGAGAAGAAGCACCGGCUAACUCCGUGCCAGCAGCCGCGGUAAUACGGAGGGUGCGAGCGUUAAUCGGAAUUACUGGGCGUAAAGCGCGCGUAGGCGGUUUGUUAAGUCGGAUGUGAAAGCCCUGGGCUCAACCUGGGAACUGCAUCCGAUACUGGCCGACU